GGUCAUCUUCCAGGAAAUGUCAUCAGUUUCUCUAAUAAACAAACAAACAAAUACAGCACAAGCAUUUUUAAAAAUUAAAUUUACAUUCUUUAAAACAUACGUCAUAACAGCAAUGACCUAGCUGCAGUUAACAUUAAGGCAGAUAUAUUUCUUUUUGUGUAUAUGAGAGAGAUUCUGUGUAACACAGCAGUAUUAUGUUUUGAGGUAGUAUAAGGCAGAGGGAGGGGAAUGGUGGAGGCUUGCUUCACAUGGCUGUUCGAGCUGCUAUCUCCAGCUACAAGACUGAAAGUCUGGCCAGGAAAACAGACUUGCACACACUCACUCCUAUUUUCUUUAAUGUGCUCUGUUCAGUUUUUCCUACUCUUAAAACAAGCUAUGUCCCACAGCGGUCUGAUAAGAGAGAGGAGGGGCUGUGUACCUGUGUGAAGGGCACUGUGUCAUGUUGGUUUUUAUUUGGAGGGUGUGUGGCAUUAGUCAUUUAAGUUAUGACAUUUGGUUUUGUAUGUGUCAUGUAUGUGGGCACAUUACGUGUAGUGUACAGUUAAUUAGCAUCAAAGCAAAUAGUUAUCAAACACUGUUGCAUUAGCAACACAUUGUUUAGAGUCAUUUUAUGUCUAUUAAUGACAGCUUGUGAACUGAAGGUGGGACUACAAAUACAAAAAAGUCACUUGCCAUUACUGUGUUUUCUAUGGCAUUGUACCAUAGUAAAAGUGUUACAAUACUCAUUUUUAGAAAAAUACUAUGGAAAUAAAAUGAUUCUUUGACAUGCACCUUGGUAAUACCCUGUUUAUCUUUGAAUUGGCUUGAAGUACCAUCUAAAAACCAUGGAACACUAAUAUUGUAAUCAUUCAGUGACGUGGUAUAUAAGAAAAUGUCAUGGUGUUGCCAACUGAUAACAUCACGCUGACUGUACCAUGGUACCACCACAGUACUUUUUCGAGGGUCAACCCAGCACAGGCUCAUUCAACCAGUUUCAAUAGAGAUAAAUGAGCCCUGAAAAUACAUAAACUACCCACUUUCCGUUUACUUCUUACUUUCACACAUAUUAAAAUUAUGGCCUACAUUUUACACAAAUAGAAGAUCAUAAAUUAAACCGCAGACACCAACUACACAAUGAAGUGCUGCCAUUGAUGUGUUCUCACCAUACACAAACAAUGAAUGCUCUUCGUACACAGUUUGACAUUUUGCUUUUCUCUAUAAUUGGGCUGUAGAAUAAACAAGGAGGUUAGGUUGUGGAGCAGGGAUGUCAGAUAGUUUACGGAGACUUCAUUCAUGUACGGUCAAGUCUGAUUCAGCCAACAGCUAAUAAGUACGACGAACAUCGCGUCAAAUUGUCAGAAACGUCCAGAGCGGCUCGGUUAAUGAUACACAGUCCUUGAUUUGUGCGAGCUGCUAAAUAGCAGUAACAUUAGUUCAGCUGUUUUAAUGGCCUUGUUAGCGUGUCAAUGAAAGAACAGUAUAUCAAAUGAUGUAUCACCUGUCAUCUAAGUUAUGAAGAGCUAGGACAAGCGAAAAUGGGGGAAAAACAGUAAAUUUAGUUUAAAAGUGUUCUUGGAUCAAUGUGAAUCAUAAUGCAUAUAGUGGGGGUGCAUCCUUUCUCAGCCAGUUAAGAUUUAGGUGGACAGCUGUUUGAAAUGGGAGAAUGCAUUCAUGAACCUGGAAAUUAGCUUGUGCUCUUUGGAUAAUCUACACCUUCGGGAGGACUGGAAAUCUUACACACUCCAAUACUUUUCUCACUCCCCCCACUCUGUCCAUCUAUCGCUCUCCCUCUGAUUCUUCGUUUCACACACACACUGACACAAACACAUUCAGACUUUCUUUAUAUCUCUCUUUCCACUCGCCCUACCCCCUCACCCAUUACCGUGACCCUUGUUCUUCCCACUUACUUUCUCUCCAUUCUCUCUCUCUCUCUCUCUCUCUCUCUCUCUUUCCCUCCCUCCUGCUGGUUUUAUCAGUGGUCCUGCUCAGUGUCCUACAGUCAUGUCAUGAUGUGAUUUAUGUCAUGGGUUGUGAAGUCUACUUAUCUCCUCCCCCUACACACACACACACACUGAGGAGCUGGCUCCCACUUUCUAGGGCUCAGCCAUCCUGGCUCCUCUGCCGCCCAGCACCCAGACCUGGCCAGAGUGAGCAGGGUGUGUUGCAUGUGUGUGAAUGCUGGUAUCAGUGAAGAGUAUGAGUGUCUGAAAUGAAAUGCAGGGUGUUUAGUGGACAGUCAGGGAUAGUGAUGUCAUUCAUGAAGCAAUAUAUUUUCUCCCUGAUCCUAUCCUAUCCAGUCCUGUCCUGUCCUAUACUGGUCUAUCCUAUCCUGUCUUGUCCUGUCCUAUCCCGUCCCAUCCCAUCCUGUCCUAUCCCGUCCCAUCCCAUCCUAUCCUGGCCUAUCCUAUCCUUUACCAAUCCUGUCUCAUCCUCAUUUAUCUCAUCCUAUCCCACCUUACCUUGUCCUGACUCAUCCUAUCCUGGUCUACCCUAUCUUGGUCUAUCCUGCCCAGGCCUAUCCUAUCCUAUCCUAUCCUAUCCUAUCCUAUCCUAUCCUAUCCUAUCCCAGUGCUCUUAUUUAUCCUUUCCUGUCCUAUCAUACCCUAAUUGUUCCUGCUCCGACUUAUCCUAUCCCAUCCUGUCCUGUCCUGUCCUGUUCCAAUUCAUUUUCAUCAUAUCCUACCUUGCCCUAAUUUAUCCUAAGCUGUCCUACAAUUUUUUAUUCUCCCUAUCCUAUUCUGGUCUAUCCUAUCUUGUCCUGACUUAUCCUAUCCUGUCCUAUCCUACCCUACUCGUUCCUGGUCUGACUUAUCCUAUCCUAUCUUAUCCUGUCCUGUUUCAAUUAUUUUUCAUCAUAUCCUACCUUGCCCUAAUUUAUCCUAAGCUGUCCUACAAUUUCUUAUUCUCCUUGUCCUAUCCUGGUCUAUCCUUAUCUUGAUUUGACUUAUCCUCUCCCUGUUCCUGUCCUGGGCUAUCCUAUCCUGGCCUACCCUUACUUAUUCUGACUUAAACUAACCAAUGCCACGCAAAGAGAGCUGUAUUCUUUUCUUCAUUCCAAUCUUUGAGUCUGAAUCUUUGCUUCUUGACUUACUAAAAACAGUGACCAAAAUCAUCUAGCACCAAAUAUGUCAUUUUCUCCAGCAAGUAACUCACAGUGAAUCCAGCUCCAUUUAUAUGUCAUUGUUCUGUCUGUAAUUUUGAAAUACUUUCAUCCCAGUGUCUGCUAUGUAUGCAUGUGAUAUUUGUGAGGUGCAUAUGUGAUUUGUGUAUGUGUGUGUGUGUGCGUUGGAGAGGUCAUCCACAUCUCUCUUUUACACGGCUCUUAGCGCGGACCCUUUGAUGUGCUUUUAGAAUGGCCAUACAGCUCUCUGCUUUACCUCUCGCUUGACAAUUGUUUAUUAGUUUUGAAACAGCUUUAGUGGACAUCAGGCUCUCUGAGAUGGCACGUUUGUGGAGAGGACGACUCACAACUCAACUGACCCCUCCUCCCCAAGAGCCGGACCCAGGACAGUGAGUCACAGAGACCUUUGAAGGGUAAAGGGAGACUUGGGCCUGCUGGGAGUCUGAAGGAUGGAGGAAUGGGAGUCAAAGAGUUACUGAGAGUUCAGUUCAUCCAUCUUCUCUCAAAUAAAGAGAGACUCCCUGCAAAUACGUCUAAUCUUCCUUACCUCUCUUUCAUAACCAUCACUUUUCCUUCUUUUCGUGGGACAUGAUACGCUCGCUCAGUCAGCUCAAGUCUUAUCGCUGUGUAUAAAGGGGUUCUGUGUUCUGUCAUAGAGGCAGGAGGCCAUAAACACAUAUGAGCAUCUCCCUCACUGUCAAGGCUUCCUAUGCUGUGAUUGGCUGAAGGCUGCACUGUCACUGCAGCUGAUUGGCCGGGCUGAGGAUGAAUGUGCACGCUGACAACCAAUGGGGCCAGAUGAGGGUGAGCCGGGUGAGAUAUGGGACGCCACAUUCUUAAGCACUAAUCAAAUCUUAUGAGCUUUCACUGAUGGGUAUGUGUUAUGUUUGUUGAUUUGCCUUCAUUAGUCUUUACAACGUGUCCAUGUUCUUAUGCAUUUUUGUGCUUGCGAUGAAUCAUGUUGAUAGACGUCUGUAUAAAUUCUCAAUGUGUAAAGGGGUUUUAGCCAGUGAGCGAAUCAGUUUGUAUCAAGAGUUCAUAUGCAGGAGGAACCAAGACUUGCCUCAACAGAUUGAAACACGUAUUGCAGCAAGCUAAUAAAGUUUAUACUGAAGAGGUUCUGGGGUCAAAGGUCACUUGCUGCCCUCUGCUCAGCCUCCCCUCACCACUCCAUCUAGCGCUCCAACAGGAGUGCUGAAAAUAGCCUGUGAUGGAUGCAAAUCUGAACAUUUCCCUCAUUCCCUCCCCCUUUCUUAGUCUACCUUGCUCUGCUAUUCAGACCAUCUCUCGUCAUCCCUAUUAGUCCAGAUGAAGAUGGAUAUGGACAGUCAGUUAUUUAUGGAUUAGGGCGGAGCUCUGAACCUUUAUUGCCAUUCUUUUAUGUCCCGAAAAGGUCUUGGGUAUGUUUCACAUUACCAUUGUUUUUCUACAGCUGACAGAGUGACAGUAAAGACAUUUAGAAUGUUUCAAAAGAUUUAUAUUAAUAAAUAAAAUGCCUUUUUUAUUUCUGUUUGGGUUUUCAACUUACAACUUGUGUUUUGUAGGAAAGAGCAGCAUAGAUAUAUCUCAGCAAAAUACCUAAUUUUUUGUUCGGUGGAAGCAAAAAAUGUACAUUUGGGUGAGAUAUAUAGUGAAUUAUUCCUUUUACGUAAGCAUUCAAACAUUCAGACGCCUUAAUGUUCUGUGAGAAACUGUUUCAGACGCACACGCACGCAUUCUGAGAGAUGGACGUGGUGAUCUGUCGUGUGGGUAGACACACGUCGUGGGACACAGGAAUCAGGAGGGGGUGUUUUUGAGCUCUGUUUUAGUCAACUUCCUCUCUGUGCAACAGAACUUCCUGUGUUGGUUCCGCGAAUGGAGACCCACCAGCUUCCCCCCAGCGGAAUGAGUGUGUGCCUGUGCACGUGAGUGCCCGUAUUACAUGUCACUGCCACCUACCACUCUCAGCAUUCUCUUUCUGCAUGCUGUAGUCAAUUAGACUGCAUCAGUAUUUAUUUAGGGUUUAACUGUUAUAAAUGUGGCUACGUAAGUGGGUUCAGUGGGGUUUUGGUACCAAUGGAUUGCAAAUUGGGCAAACAAUUAUGGGUCAAUGAUGAGAUAUUUUUGACACUCCA